rnacentral:rRNA from 1 species
UACGUAGGGGGCAAGCGUUGUCCGGAUUUAUUGGGCGUAAAGAGCUCGUAGGCGGCUUAGUAAGUCGGGUGUGAAACCUCCAGGCUCAACCUGGAGACGCCACCCGAUACUGCUGUGGCUAGAGUCCGGUAGGGGAGCGUGGAAUUCCUGGUGUAGCGGUGAAAUGCGCAGAUAUCAGGAGGAACACCGGUGGCGAAGGCGGGUCUCUGGGCAGUAACUGACGCUGAGGAGCGAAAGCGUGGGGAGCGAACAGG